rnacentral:lncRNA from 1 species
ACAGGUGGAAGCUACACCUCUGGCACAGAUUAGGUACCUAAACACACUUCCUGCCUCUGGCUAGUUGUUGGAGCCUGAGCUGCAUAAGCAAAUAAGUACGAGUAGUUUUUUUCUCCCCCUUCGAUCUGAAAACUUAAGACCCAGCCAGUGAGCACUUGAUUAGAACAUCGCCAUGGGGUUCCUGAGCCGGACAGAUUGAGAACAGCCCUGUCUGAAAAGGAUUCUGAAAUUAUAAUCCAGGUCAGAUUGGAGAGGCAGAAGAGUUUGCAGAUUGCUCAGCCACUGAUUUAAGCUUUGUUCUCUCAAACACUUCGAUGUAGUGGUGGCCAUGGCAACUAGCUGAACAAGGAACUGUGUCCUUUUAACAUCAAGACUCUGAUUGGUCCAUCCUGAGACAUGUGUGCAUCUCUAGACUAAUUACUGUCUCCAGGGGAAGAGUUUCCAGAGAUAAGGCCAUCCCGCCUUCCUUCUGGAGCAGAGAGGGAGACACCCCCCACAGAUGGAGACUUCCUUCACAAAUGCAAACGUCUCUCAUCAAAGGGCAAGUAAAUUCCACUCCUCUGAGCCUCCCUCUCAUCUGCAGUUUUUUAAAAUUAACCAGCCGAAAUCCUCAUCAGCCAUGGCAACUAGCUGAACAAGGAAUUGUGUCCUUUUAACAUCAAGACUCUGAUUGGUCCAUCCUGAGACAUGUGUGCAUCUCUAGACUAAUUACUGUCUCCAGGGGAAGGAAUUCCCAGUGUCUCAGAAAAUGAUAACCAGCAGGAGAGCGUAUAUAAGAAAAUAGCAUAAAGAUGCUGGCAGCAAACCAAGCGGGUGCCAGUCACAGUUAACUGUGCCUGCCAGGAGCUCUGAAAAGGCUAUUUCUGCAAGAAUAAAGAAAAUUUCAUUUCACUCCCCUCCACACAGAACUCACUGGAGAAAGAUUACCGUGAAAACAAAUUUGCUGUAAGUUCUUUCUUUUCUGUUGUUUGAUUCUUCUGUUAAUACACAGACCACUGCUAAUUUUUUUGUGUGUGAUAUUAUAGUAAUUUCAAUUUUUAGGGCUUAAAGUACUGUAUCAACAAUUUCGUCAUUUCUGAUACUCAAACAUUUUGCAAUCGAUUUUGAUGACUGCCCAUUUUAGAAGUAGAAGAUAUCUAAAGGUGAGGUAGGAAGACCUCAGGUUUUUAGGAUGAAGUAAAUGCAUUUUACUAUAUUCUCCUCCCUUUAAAUAUGCUAAAUAAU